rnacentral:lncRNA from 10 species
GUUCAACCCCUUUUUGACCCUGCUUCUAGAACACAGGUUUUUCUUUCCUUGCUUCCUGAUUUUUGGGGGGCAUCCAAGAGUCUCUCUAGUUGCAUCCUCACUUCCCCCAACCCGGAGUUCAAGGGUCAAGGUUUGCAAGGCACUAUUCCUGGAGACAGGGACAGCUCUCUGAGCAAGAGGAGGGAUUUACCAUAAACUUGAGCAACCCAGAAGCUCACUGAAAAGAACAAAAAAACUCGUCUUGAUUUCAUGGCUGGUCUCAAACUCCUGGGCUCAAGGAAUCUUCUCAGUCUCUCAAAGUGCUGGGGUUAUAGACGUGAGCCACUGCACUCCGUCAGUCUUGUGCCCUGCCCAGUCUCCGGAGCCCAGCCGUUAGUUGGUCUUAAUCAACAUGGACUGAGAGGAAGGAAGGCUUGUGAAAUGUAGUGACACAGUAACAAAACGAUCCAUUAAAAUGAAAUGAGAUCACAUCCCUGCUUAAAACUCUCUGAUGGCUUCUUGUCCCACUUAAAACAAAAUUCAUAAGGCUGGCCAGGCGCAGUGGCUCACGCCUGUAAUCCCAGCAUUUUGGGAGGCCGAGGCAAGCGGAUCACCUGAGUUCAGGAGUUCGAGACCAGCCUGACCAAUAUGAUGAAACCCCGUCUGUACUAAAAAUACAAAAAUUAGCGGGGCGUGGUGGCGGGUGCCUGUAGUCCCAGCUACUGGAGAGGCUGAGACAGGAGAAUUGCUUGCACCCAGGAGGCAUAGGUUGCAGUGAGCCGAGAUCGCGCCACUAUACUCCAGCCUGGGUGACAAAGUGAGACUCUGUCUCAAAAAAAGAAAAAGAAAAAGAAAAAGAAACUGGCUCCUAUGCAGAUGAAGAUGGGGACCCCGAAGUCUCCAUGUUUCCACACUCAGCUCCCCAGAUUUGUUUUGACCCAGCCUUUUUUUUUUUUUUUUUUUUGAGACAGCGUCUCGCUCUGUCACCCAGGCUGUAGUGCAGUGGUGUGAUCUCAGCUCACUGCAACCUCUGACUCUCAGAUUCAAGCUAUUCUUCUGCCUCAGUCGGCCGAGUAGCUGGAAUUACAGGAACCCGCCACCAAGCCUGGCUGAUUUUUUGUAUUUUUAGUAGAGACGGGGUUUUGCCAUGUUGGCCAGGCUAGUCUCGAACUCUUGACCUCAAGUGAUCUGCACACCUCGGCCUCCCAAAGUGCCGGGAUUACAGGCGUGAGCCACCGCGCCCGGCCUGGCCUUGACUUUUGAGGGUGCCCCCACCCGUGCCACCCCCAGGAGGCAGAGCAGAGCCAGAGUCAUGGGGGCCGGUGGUUGUAAACAGAGUUUUAUUGAUGGGGAGGGGGCUGGGGGAGGCAAACUCCAGAGAGGGCAGAGGACCCAGCCAGCCACGUGGCAUGCAUGGUCAGCUGGAGGUCAGAGGGGGGAGGUCACAAGGGGACGGGUGGCAUGGGACUCUCUCACCACCCUGGGGCCGUAUUUACAGAGGGGCCCCACCCACCUUCGCCGCCCCCCAGGCCCCCAAGCCCUUUAGACAGCUGCUGCCGAUGUGACUUCCGGGCAGGCCCUCCUCGUGUCUCCUGCCUGAAACCCCGGCAUUGUCCCCGCUUCCCUCUGCAGAGUGGGGGGGGUUCAAACUCCUAACCGGCACCUCGGAGACCCCCGGGCCUUCUGGAAGCCCCAGCGUCGGCUCAGCCAACGCCCAGGCCGCUGGGGCCACCACGAUCGUCGCUCGUGGACACACACCCUGCACGCGUGGCCCACUUGACACACACGCCCACAGCAGCCUUCGCUGGCACGCACACACACGCCCACCUCCCCGGCCCCUUGCACACGAACACGGCACGCACACGCACGCACACCCACACACGCCAGGGGCCUGGGUUGGGGAGGGACCUUUCCAGGGGUGGGGGAGGGCUUAGGUCUGCAGCUGUGGCCCCCCAUUCCCCACCGGCGUCCAAGCCUCCCCUGCCUGCCGCCACCCCGAGAACGGAGUUGUGCAAUUGGUUAGAAAACCGCAAAAGAAACCAAAACUGCAAAAAAAACCAAAACCUACGCGCAUAAGGUCAACCUCAAAUCCAUAG